GGUGUUUUGGCCGAGCGGUCUAAGGCGCUAGCUUAAGGUCAUUCUGAUCCGCUAGUCCGAAAGGGCGUGAGUUCGAAUCUCACAGACAUCA